AUUGAACGCUGGCGGCAUGCUUUACACAUGCAAGUCGAACGGAAACAUGGAGAAGCUUGCUUCUCUGAUGUCGAGUGGCGAACGGGUGAGUAAUACAUCGGAACAUGUCCUUUUGUGGGGGAUAACUACUCGAAAGAGUAGCUAAUACCGCAUAAGACCUAAGGGUGAAAGCGGGGGACCUUCGGGCCUCGCGCAGAUGGAGUGGCCGAUGACUGAUUAGCUAGUUGGUGGGGUAACGGCCUACCAAGGCGACGAUCAGUAGCCGGCCUGAGAGGGUGAACGGCCACAUUGGGACUGAGACACGGCCCAAACUCCUACGGGAGGCAGCAGUGGGGAAUAUUGCACAAUGGGGGAAACCCUGAUACAGCGACGCCGCGUGAGCGAUGAAGUAUUUCGGUAUGUAAAGCUCUAUCAGCAGGGAAGAAAAUGACGGUACCUGACUAAGAAGCACCGGCUAAAUACGUG
rnacentral:rRNA from 1 species